CAAGAACGGUUUUGUGUAGGAGUUUGUAUAUAGCCUUUAGCAAUAUACCAACCAAGUAAAAGUUCAGUACCUGAUCCAGAGUGAAGAUAGAAGAAGCCCAACACUGACAGAGGUCAGUGGGUCGAAAUGGAUAAAACCGAGAGGAUCUGGCUCAUUGCAAAAACACACGUCAUAAAAAUGAUGUCUGAGGAGUGAUCAGGGAAGUCAAUGCCAGGGUUCGAAGGAAUAAAUGCCACAGUGCUAGAAUCAGGAGCUAGGCAAUAGGCAACUUCAUAACAGGUGCAGCAAAGUAAAGAAAAACUAGUCCUGCAAGGAUAAGAAGAUAUUGAAAUGCUGAUCGUAAUGAAGGAGGAAACUAACAAGAGAAAUUCCUACAGCAGAGAGAAUGAAGUAGAAAAAACUGAAAGGGAAAAUAUUGGGAAACAAAAGAAAAAACAUGGAAGGAGUAAACAAAAACAGGAAGUACAUCAAUGGUCAGCUAUGUCAGUAGUAUGUGAUCAAAGUUAAACAACAACAACCAAUGACAGCAAUACUAUUUAUUACCAAACACAGAGAAUCUGGAGUAAUGCAGCACAGCACUUUACAAAGCUGUAAAACAAAAAGAAAUACCCAGGUCUUUACAACAAACUCCUUAAGCACAGCCUUGAUAAGAAGCUCAUGUAUUGAAAAAGAUGAAAAUAAAGGAAAAAUAGCUCUUCAUGUGUGUAUACACAAAUAACAGGAAAAACAAAACAGCAAAAACGCGCCUGUAUAAUCCAUACAAAGAAACUUAAAGAAAUUACAAUCAGAUUGAUCAGAACAGCGAUUGUAACUACCAGAGGCCUCAUUCCCACCCUGACACCUAAUGUCUGGAUCCCCUGGAGAAAGCGUGCCCAUUCUUUCUCCUCUGUUAGAAUGAACACCGUGACCAACUGUUACGCUCCUGGACUGUCUUGGACAUUCACACCCAUGGACACACCCUGGACCUGUUCAUCAACAGAGUCCCAACCAGCUCUUCGUAGUACCUCAAGGCACUGACAGACUGAAGACCACGACCUCUGAUGGUCAUUUCUUAACCCACACAGCCACAGACUGCGAGUGGCUAACCACAGACAGACAGACAGAAAAGAAGCAACCAGGUCCCUUCCAGAGUCUCUUCAUGGGCUAGGCCCUCUGGCUGCAGGGAUGUCAAUGGCAGUCUCCAUCGAGAGCAGAUCAGAGGCUGGCAUUCUUCCCGCUCAACAAUGUGCUGAUGGUGCUGCUGCUGAUGAGAAAGCAAGAACCCAUUUUGGGAGAUGAGGUCAUCUUUUAUAAAAAAAAACAAAAGGAAAAAAGCUACCGAUCUGUUAUCUAUAAAUGCCCUAAAGGAUGCUGUUUAUCUUUUUUAAUUGAAUCUUUUUUUUUUUUAUUUUACUCUAUCUUUGAUCUUGCAAACUACAUUUAAGGUAUCAUAAGUUAUGUCAACAUGGGUAGUAACAAACUAGACAAGCAACUGUACAAACAAGUGCCUGCAAUAGGGCCAUGAGUAAGUCUGUUCUCCGCUUGGUAGUGACACAUGAUUCAAAAGCUGAACUGUCACCCCGAGUGCAAGGCUAUAAUCCUCUUCAGACAGACAUACUGCCAUUACCUCAGGCAAGCAUAGCUGUCGUUGCAAAUGGAAAAGCAUUUACAGAUGUUGCCGAACAAUGCUGGAAUCAACUCCUAUUUCCAUUAUCCCGCAAAUCAACCUGCAAUGUUGGCAUCUGACAUAAUAUUUUUGCCUUGUGUUUUGUCUAGUAUUGGCUGUUUUUUGGCAUGGCAUAGGGUCCUGCAGUUUUUUGUCAGAUCAAACAAACUCAAGCAGAGAGUUAGAGAUUUCCCAUUCCAAAUCAAUCCCAGGCUCAGUAUUUCAGAUGUUGGACUCUGCCGGUCAGCACUGGGUUACCCCAUUCACAAAGACACAAAUGUUAAGAGGGUUGUUUUUUACUACACCUGUGGGGGGGCUUGUGUGUGUGUGGUGGGGGGGCAGGUAUUUCUAUCAAUGUGCAGACAAAAUUUGAGAAAAUGUCCCCACUAAUAUAUUAAUGGGACAUUAAGGGACGUCCCUUCUUUGUAAAACACAUUUUUAAGAACUAAAUAUGUUAUAUGUUAGAAAUAGUAAAUACAAAUAUAGUGAGAGUCAAUAAAAAGUCCCCACAAAUAUAGGAAUACAAACGUAUUGGACAGGUAAUAUCAGGUAACCCAAUUAAUGAGUUCAGUGUAAUUCAAUAAGGAUGAAGAACACGUGUCAUACAAUUUUAUUCACAGAUACCGACUUAUUGGGAAAGGUGUCUGAUGUUUGGGGUAAAAUAUAUGUAUAUUGUACAAAACCACACUGUAAAUAAAAUAAGUAUUAAAUAUGCAGAGUAUAAUUCCAACACACCCCCUCAGAUAGAAGGGGUCAAGGACUUCAUUACUACAGAGGAGAUGCUGCUAAUCACGAUUUGCUGACUAGGGAAGCAGCUCACAAUCAUGUCAGUAUGUUUUUUCACUUGUAUUCCAUUUUAAAGUCUGGCUCUAUAAUGGACAACUAUACAUCACACUGCCCAAGCUUUCCUCUAAUGCUGGGCAGCUGUUUUGGAUAUGCUGAACUGAAGAAGAAAAAAAAAAGUUAUUACAAUAGUUCCCUGAUUAAAAGCAAAGACAGAAAAAUGGAAUUAAUGUGACAUUUCAAUUUCAUAAGAGCUCCUGAAACAGCAUCAAUGAGCAAAGUCCCGCUCUCCUGGAGUCAAACAGUAACCUCAACGAGUAGUGCCACGUUGUGGAAUCAUAGUUGGCAUAGGAUUCUAGAAACUAAAGACAACUCUAGUUGACAUUGCAGCUAGUAUGGACUUGUAAAUUUAAAGGACAUCAAGCAGAACUUCUUGCUUUUUAAUAGAUAGUCUGAAUGGGGUUAAACUGUAGUUCAAAAACAGAACAAAAGCACUUCUGACUUCCAGAUGUUUACAGUUGUCUUUGCAUGCCCACUCCUCUUCCUGGGCCCCUGUCUGGUGGGACCAGCUACCAGAGAACUUCAGGACUGUUCCAUCUCUCACUGCCUUCCACCGCCUCCUUAAGACUGCACUUUAUAUUUGUGAGAUGUAUUGCUCAUUACAAUAUUUUUCAUGUUUGACAGACACAGUUACUGAGCUGAAAGUGACCUCAACAUUUUCAACACAUGGUUCAGAGACAGAAACAUUUUAUUUUAAAACGUGAUAGCUACAGGUUAAAGAAAUCUCUGACUUUCCUAGUCUUUUCACCUGGAGAGAGAAGUCUCCACUCCUUCCUCCUCAGUAACCUCAGUAAUCAGCUGCAUCCCCCAAUGACUGACAUGCUUUGCAGCGAGUAAGAUGCUUUGUCCUGGAGAACUGCUAUGUGAAAUAAAAGUAACACAAUUCAAGAAGGCAAGACAAGCACGCUGACAAAUUUAUGUUUGUGAUAACAUGCGUUUCCUUCAAAACUGCGAUAUAUCUGAGAUAUAUGUCUGUAUAGUGAAGUGCAUAACAAGUAAAAGCGAAUUGAUUAGCUACAGCCACUUUAACACUGAGCAGAGGGCAUUUGUCUCGUCGUCUCAUUCCGAAUUCCAAUCUCCAGUUGACACCCACGAUGGGCCCAUACUCCGAUCCAAGCCCUUUAUGUAAACAGGUAGCUUCCGUGCAGUGACUAUAAAUGUAGACACCAUGCUUGUUUUUAAAAAAUGGAAAAAGUCAUUGUGACGGGGAACUCCCCGUCUAUAUGAACAUGUUUGGAACUGGCAG